UACGUAGCAGCAAGCGUUGUUCGGAAUUACUGGGCGUAAAGAGUGUGUAGGCGGUGCUCUAAGUCAGGUGUGAAACCUCCAGGCUCAACCUGGAGACGCCACCUGAUACUGCUGUGGCUAGAGUCCGGUAGGGGAGCGUGGAAUUCCUGGUGUAGCGGUGAAAUGCGCAGAUAUCAGGAGGAACACCAGCGGCGAAGGCGGCGCUCUGGGCCGGAACUGACGCUGAGGAGCGAAAGCGUGGGUAGCAAACAGG
rnacentral:rRNA from 1 species